AGAAAAAUAUAGAAAAUUGAAGACAAAGUAUCGAGAACUAAAAAAAAAGAAUGGCAACUGAUACAAGUAUUGAAGAGAAACCAAAACCAGGUCUUGUGAAAAAAGAAAUAGCAGAACAAUUUGAAAUGAUCGAAAUAAUUCCCUCAUCAAAAGUUUACUGGAC